GACGUAGGGUCCAAGCGUUGUCCGGAUUUACUGGGCGUAAAGAGCGCGUAGGCGGUCCGUUAAGUGUAGAGUGAAAUCUCUGGGCUCACCCCAGAAACUGCUCUGCAUACUGGCGGACUAGAGGGAUGCAGAGGUUUGUGGAAUUCCUGGUGUAGCGGUGAAAUGCGUUGAUAUCAGGAGGAACACCCAUGGCGAAGGCAGCAAACUGGGCAUCAUCUGACGCUGAGGCGCGAAAGCGUGGGUAGCAAACAGG
rnacentral:rRNA from 1 species